rnacentral:rRNA from 1 species
UACGUAGGGUGCGAGCGUUGUCCGGAAUUAUUGGGCGUAAAGGGCUCGUAGGCGGUUUGUCGCGUCGGGAGUGAAAACAUCCAGCUUAACUGGGUGCUUGCUUUCGAUACGGGCAGACUUGAGGUAUGCAGGGGAGAAUGGAAUUCCUGGUGUAGCGGUGAAAUGCGCGGAUAUCAGGAGGAACACCGGUGGCGAAGGCGGUUCUCUGGGCAUUACCUGACGCUGAGGAGCGAAAGUGUGGGGAGCGAACAGG